AUCUCGGUUGGAUAGGGGGACAGAAACAUGUCGUUAAGGUGUCGAAAUGAGCCCUGUAGGUGUGGGCCGUUCCCUAAGUUUGUGGUUUCCGAUUUUCAAAGGGGCGGACUUCUUAUUGGCUAUGGGAUCAAGUUCCUGAAACUGGUCUUCUAUACCUUGAAAAAUGUCUUCGUGAAAGGAGGCGCCAAGGAGCUUAAGUGUAAUUCUCACACAGUAGAGACCAUGACGAAGGUUCCUCGGGGGUUUGAUUUCAGUUUCUUAAAUGACGAAGAAGCCAGGAAGAUCCUUCAGGUGCUGGAAAGAAACGAGGAGCUACAGAGGGCAGAGAAGGACAGGAUCAGCAAACUCCAGAAGACAAAGAGGGAUAUCAGAUGGCUUCAGGGAGUGACUGGCGAAUGGUUUGAGGAAAUUCAAAGAAAAAAGUUCUGCAGUGAAACAGAUGUUAGCCAAAUGUUAAAACAACCACUUACAUACAGACUAAGGAAGGGGAUGGCAGAAAAUGAUCCCAUGGAAUUACAAACAUCAAGAUCUAAAACUACAGCUAAUCAAAGAAACCCAACAUCCAUUUCUUCUCGGCUGAGCUUCAGAUCGUCGUUUGCUUCCCUGUUCUCAUUCAGAAAAUCCAGAAAGGAGACUUUAAAGCUUCAGUCACUGGGACAGAAAGGGUGAGUUAAACUCGGAUCACGUCACACCUCUGAUGGCAGAGGUCGGUAGUCUGUUUUGUGUUCAGAAUGUUUAAUGUUUGUUCUCUGACUUUAAAUGCAGAUAGUCACAAAAGAAACAGGACUGAACUCGCAGAGGGACAAAGUCCUUCUGACACCACGAAACUUGGCUCUUUUGAAAGCCAACUUCUAACCAACUGCACAGAUCCCAGGUAGUGCACGCAGUGAUUAAUGGGUUAAAUGUUGGGAAAUGCUCAUUGACUUUCUCCACUGUUUCAAGAGCCUGGUCUAUGCUCUGGUCAGGAAGAUAUCUUCAAAUCAAAACUACUUUUUCCUUGGGGAUAUGUGUAUCUGUGGUCACAAGGAGAGAUGGGGUAGAAAGAUGAAAUGAAAGUAAACGAGAUGAGCAACGAGAGUAGAGAAAACUGGCAUUUUAAAAUUGAGGGGAUGAGGAUAUUACCGUGACUAGCAGUAUCCAGAACGGCUGUUCUGCUGUGGGGACCCAGAAUUUAAACUUAAGGUAAAGAAAGGGAAGCUUUUUGGAACAGGCAUCGUUCCAGAGAGUUCCCAGUGUAGAGCGGUGUAAAAAUCAGUUCAUCCUGACUCACAGGUUAUUGGAUUGUUUUGUGAAAAACAAGCAAGGCUUUGCUUACAUGCAGUUGGGCUGACUGCUAAAUAUUUUCAGCACGUCUUCCUGGUUGAAAAGCUUCCCACCCUCUUAAGGUGUUGGCCUCACACGUGACGUGAGCCAUCACACCAUUAAGAGUGCGUUGCUGCACUAAAUAGGAGGUGCUGGAGGUCACUCUUGCUGAAAACAGUAAGUGGCAUGCGGCUUGGUGGGGCGGGUGAUGAGGCUCCCGAACCUGGAGAACAGAACUCUGUCCUCCCCUCUCGGGUGGAUGGAAGGUGUUUUGCUCCCAGCUUUCACCUGAGCCUGCUUUUGUCUUUGCUGAAAUAAUGAAGAGCUGAACAGAAUGUAGAUUUAUGUGACUGUCCCUACCAGAGUCACUUGCAAGGAAGUACUCUGCAAAUAGGUGAGUUGCUUUUCUUUGUAAAAAUGUUUGAAACGCUAGUAAUCCUCUCGUUUGGAGAUUUAAAAUCGAAGGGUAUUUCCUGUGGAGGGAAUAUGUAUUUUAAGGACAAAAAAAAAUAUUCCUGAUGUGUGGUGAAGCUGGGACUUGUGAUGGAGUUUGUGUUUUAGGUGGUUUUCUUUAAGGCAGAGUUUUAUACAACUGAACAAUCUAACAUCAGUAAACCUGGAAAAGUUGAGGAACCUGUUCACUCUGUGGACAAGUUAUUUCCGAGCUCAUAUUGCAAGUCACUGCAAAAAUGGAUCAAAGAAGACAGCAAAAAUCUAGAAUCUUCCAUCUGGGUAUCAUGUUUUCUGGUUACAGAUCAAGAUGCAAAGCGCUUUGGUGGAUCCACCUUGCUGUUCUUCAGACAUGCCCAAAUUUGCCUGGCCCACGGGGUGUACACCGCUCCAGCUGCAACCCCAGGUUACGCAAGCAAGACAUUGAGCUACUGUUUUGGAAAAUUAAAAAGGCAGGUGAUAUUUUUUUUCCCCUGGAUUCUGGUCAUUCUCUUUUUCUCUCUCUCACUUGCUACACAUGCCACUCCCUGCAAAUGCCUGAGUUCAAAGACACAAAAAUCUUAGACUCCUCGAUGAAAGGAGAAGUCAGAGUCAGCGAGAUCCUCCUUUGGAAAUGCUCCUUCUGUGAACCCAGGUGCGGUCUCCACGGGCAGGGCUGUGAUGACAAGAAGAAGAGGCACGACAGGGGGAGUGGUCUGGAGUUUACCCUGGGUGGCCAGUGGUGUUCCCAGGUGACAGGGCUGAUCAUUAGUAUAAUCUCAUCAGCAAUUUAAAAAUAAUGACACUUGGCCCCGAAUCUGAGAUUCUGAUUCAGAAGGUCUGAAGUAGGGCACAGGGAACUUCAUUUAUUUGUUUAUUUUAAAUUCUCCAGGAUAUUCAGGUGCUCACCUGGCGGUUUGAAACCCCCGGCAGCCUUGCUUCGGGAAGGGCUGUCAGAACUCUCCGCAUGGGUGUUGUUAGCCCAGGUGAUAGUUUCGCUUUUGUUUAUUUAUCGAGCGUUUAUCAAAGUCUUACUCUGGAUCAGAUACUACUGUUCGUACUGAGGAUAAAAUUGUGAAAAUAAGGCACAGGCCCUUCCUGGAGAAAUCUGUAAUCCAGUGGGGAACAGCAGAGCAUUGCAUGUGGUUGGGCAGAGGUGCCCCACAGAACCCUGGGACGUGGCAGAACAUCAUGGCUUCAGGUAUUUCUUAUGGCAGUUUUCCGGCAAAUGACAGUAACUUGAGGAAGGGGUGCUCUGUGGGAUUCACACAGGGAUACCAUCUGGCCUCGCUGCGGCCAAGUACACUGGUGAUUAUGGUGUCAUAUGGUGAGUGCGAGGGAGGGUGCACGGUAUUCCAGCCUUGAGAACAUAUAGGAGAAGCACUUAACUCAGACUCGAGGACCAGAAGCCUUCCUGGAAGAGGAGAGACCAUUGUCAGAGGACAUACAGGACUAAGCUUGGUAAUUAAGAGUUGGGAGGUUGCACCAGGCAGAAAAACUGACACAGCCAAGGUGUGGAGACUGGAAAAAGCAAGAACUCAUCUAGGUCACUGAGGUUCAGUGACCCAGGAUAAGGUGAGACCAGUAAGAGAUGGAAUGGGAGAGGUUGGCAGAGGCCACUGGCAGUGCUAAGAAGCUUGGAUUUGAUCCCAUAGACAAUGGGAAAUCAUUCAUCACUUUUACUUUAAUACCAUUUUUCCUUACUUUGUAUAUGUAUAUAUUUUAUACAUGUAUGUAUUUUAUUUGUGUGUGUGUGUAUGUGUAUUUCUCUUAUAUAUAUGUGUAUGUAUAUAUAUAUAUCAGAUAUAUAUAUAUAGGAUAAAGUCACCCACAACCCGCUGCCCUGGACAAACACUAAAAUAUUUUGGUGUAUUCAAUGCGUGUGUGCAGGUACAUACAUCUAUUUUAUCCAUUUCUAGUUUUUCU